AAUAAGUGUAGUUUUACACUAUUCAUCCUCAACGUUCGACUGUUCGUCUUAUUUGAAAAAUUUUUAUAAUUACUAUUUUUAUUAUUAUUAGAUGAUAAAAAUAUGAAUAAUACUUUAUGUAUGACUAAUUUUUUUAAAAUUUUUCAUAAAUUUUUUAAAUAAAACGAAUGGUUAAACAUUGAACACGGAUUUCCACAGCUGCAUUUAUU
rfam:Oryza glaberrima chromosome 9 Oglab09_0139_12, whole genome shotgun sequence.